UGUUAAUGACCAAUUAUGUAGAAUCCAAGAUUUUUGCUUUCAGGAGGUUUACUCACUGCAGGUGUCUCCUUGAUGAACAAGUCAUGGAACAGGUUUGUAGUGAACGGCCCCUCCCUCCCCUAAAGAGUGAACCAGAAGUGAACCCUGUCUUGACUGACAGGCAGUGAUCUCUAGGGAUGGCCUCUAGGCACAUGGUGAGCAGGACCUAGAGAGACCUGAGGCAAGAAGAGAAGGGGUUCUUUGUUUUCAGUUGGAGCCAGGCUGGGCUAACAACAGGUUGGCUGGCCAGGGAAUGGCUGCAACAAAGAGGACUGCAAUCCUGGGAAGUUAGGACUGCAGGGCCCUAAAGUCUCUACCAUGGAUUUGGUGAGUUCAGGAAGGAAGCCAGGGCUUUGGCUUUGGGGAAAGGUUUAGUUUAGGGAACAGUAGUGGGCAGUAUACAAAUAUUUAUUCCCUUUAUUUUUAUUUAUUCAAUUUCUAUACCGCCCUUCCAAAAAUGGCACAGAGAAAUAAAUAAAUAAGAUGGAUCCCUGUCCCUAAAGGGCUCACAAUCUAAAAAGAAACAUAAGAUAGACACCAGCAACAGCCACUGGAGGGAGAGGAGAGUGAAGAUGGCGUUCUGAAGAGAAGCACCUGGCUAAUAGUCCAGGGUGUUUUGACUCCCAUUUGGCCAAAUUAUCUCUCAUCAGCGAGAUGAAGAUCAGAUUGCAUGCAGGGCUUGUUGUUGUUUGGGAGGGGGGGGAAUCUGGGGAGAUUUCCCUGGAUGAACCCCCAGAAUAAACCUUUCUGCUUAAGCAACAGGCUGAAUGGAAGAAGCAAACAUCAAAGCUUAUGAAGGGAUGACCUUUAUCAAGCAUCAAAGCUUAUGAAGGGAUGAUUUUAAUACAUUUUGCAUACUCCCAGUUGUAGACUACAACUGGGAGUAUGCAAGAUCUUUGGCAUUCUUACUCUUUCUCUCCCUCUGUUUACUAUUUUUGAACCUCUCACUGACCUUCCUAGAAGUAAUUAUGGAAUGAUUUACAGCGUUAAGAAGAGGGCUGGUUGAAGAGGAUGUUGACCAACAAGAUUUUACUGCUUAGAUUCCUUUUUUCUUUGCAGACCCUAAUGCCUGUAUUUUUAUCUGCUUAGUUUUCAUUUAGAAGAAGCUCAGGCUACCCAUGGAGGCAGUGGUUAGGAGCUUGUAUUUCUUAUUUUGAACUUUGACUGAUUCACUGCACUGGAAUUUCGGCAUUGACAAGAUGUUUUAUGCAUUGCAAGCCUUUGAAAUUCAACAUUAGGAAGUGGAAAGAAUGAACUGGAAUGGAAUUGAAGACUUAAGACUUCUCACAUUUUCCCAUGCGUAAGCUUUUGUAUGGAGUUAGUUCCAGCUUAUUAUGUCUUUGACAGAAUGCCUUAUCUCUGGGCUGAGAACAUUCUCAAACCUUCUCAAGACUCUUACGUUAACUCUUUACUGGAUUUUUUCUGGGUCUGUUUAUUGUUUUGUUUUGAUGCAGUGUGAGAAGUACUUGAGAAUCAAAUAAUAUUAUUUUCUUUUCUUUUUCCUUCCCUUUCGAAUUUAAUGAGAUUCUUAGUUUCCUUUGAUUCGUUCCAAGAUUAAAAUGUAUUAAAAUGUAUUGAAGUAGUUAGGUUGAAACUAUAUGAAUGUUUUCUUUCUUUCUUUCUUCUCAUUGUAUUCCCUGUGAUGGUUAUUUCCAAAAAUAUAAUAGAGGUUAGGGAAACUAGUUUAGACAUUUUUACAUAUAAAUAUUGAUAUUUAUUCAUAUUUAUAAAUAUGAAUGUUUUCUUUCUUUCUUUCUUCUCAUUGUAUUCCCUGUGAUGGUUAUUUCCAAAAAUAUAACAGAGGUUAGGGAAACUAGUUUAGACAUUUUUACAUAUAAAUAUUCAUACAUAUUAUAAUUGCUGUUGUAAUGUUGUCCUGUAUAUGUAAUUAAUUUCUGCUAAAUGGAAGAAUUACUUUUAUAUUCCCUGUUAUUUAACAGCUGUUAAAAAAAUGUUGUGAAGAGGGAAAUCUUCAAAUUAAAAGCUCAAUUUUUUAUA